CACGUAGGGCGCAAGCGUUGUCCGGAAUUAUUGGGCGUAAAGAGCUCGUAGGCGGUCUGUUGCGUCCGCUGUGAAAACUCGGGGCUUAACCCCGAGCCUGCAGUGGAUACGGGCAGACUAGAGGUAGGUAGGGGAGAAUGGAAUUCCCGGUGUAGCGGUGAAAUGCGCAGAUAUCGGGAGGAACACCAAUGGCGAAGGCAGCUCGCUGGGACGUUACUGACGCUGAGGAGCGAAAGCGUGGGGAGCGAACAGG
rnacentral:rRNA from 1 species